ensembl:lncRNA
CAUGGAUAUGAUUAUUUUAUAAAAAUUCAUUUUUAUAAAUUUCAAUUUUAUACCUCUGUGUACUUUUAUGCAUAUAGUUGGGCUUUAAUAAACAGUUAAAAAUAUAUCAUUUAUACAUGCAUAACUCUUACUAGCAAACAAUAUAUCUUUGGCUUCUAGGAGGCGCAUAUCUUGCAGAAGCAAGGAGGAGUUGAAUUAUCUUAAGUAUCAUCAUCAUCAUCAUCAUCAUCAUCAUCAUCAUCGCCAAAGGAAGAGGCCAAAGAGAUAAUGAAGGGGAAUGUGGAAGAGAGAGUAGCAAUGAUUGCUACUGGGGUCUGUGGUCUGAGGCCAUUAAGUGCUGCCGGGAUGAAGGGCUGGUGCUCACCUGCUUAGAACAAUGUGACCACAUUGAGAGUCUCUGGAGAUUCCAAGUAAGUCCUAAUGCUCUUUUGAUGGAAUGCCAAUGCACGUCGAACCUGCAAUUCAACAACUGUAAAAUAAGAACCCACUGUGAGCCAGAAACUGCUCCUUAUGGGGGAUAGAAGGAUAAACACAACCCACUCCUGGUCCUUGGAGAGAAGACAGUAAAGGAGAGAAGAUGUGGGCACAGAUUAUUACAGUACAAGGUAGAGGGUGCUGAAUGCUGAGCCAGGUGUCUUGGAGGUGCUGUGGGCAUGGGCUACGUGUCGAUGGGGCACCCUGAGGCAGGGAGAGGGCCCUGGAGCAGAAGGCUACAGUUGCAGCUGGAAUCCUCCCUUUGGACAACUCUCUAAUCUCUCUGAGCCACGGCUUCCUAAUCUAUUAAAAGAGAUUAGUCAUCAGUUCUUCAUAGGUGAUCUAUGUGAGAACACUUAACCUGGUCAUCAGUGACAGAGUGGACAUUCAGCAAAUCUCUUUCCCUUGCUUCCUGAAGGAAGUAGCAAUGGAGUAGGGGAUCAACAUGUUUUGGGAAGAAUUUUGGUGCCAUUAAAUCCUACAGAAAUGGCAAACUGCAUUUGAUGUAAGUGAACUCCAGAUCAGAUUAAAGUCUACCUUACAUAGAGAAAGGGAGGACUGUGUGAGGAAUUUGCAGAGCGCUCUGUCUAGGACAUCACUAAGGGAAGGCAGAGCUUGGGAACAAGCCAAUGUAAAUUACUAAACACCCAAACCCUCACAAGUCUCUAGCCUCCUGAAGGUCAUAUUUAAAAGUAAGCUGAAAGGAAACCUUUUGUCAGGUCUGCUGACCCUCCUAGGCUGGCAUUGAUUUAAUUCCCUUCUAAAUAUAUUUAUUUUCCUCUACCCUUGGCUGCAAAGGGGUUUUAGUUUGGAGGUCUAAGAAAACACUUUGGUCCAACCUUCCUACUGGGCAACUAAAUGAAGGCAGGAGAUAUAGGAGUUAGAAGGCAAAGUGCUAAGGGUGAAAGAAAUUGGGAAGUUUAACAAUAAGUCACUGAUUUGGAGGCAAUACUGUGUUUAUUUGCAAAAGCUUAUUCCCUAUAUAGUGGUCUUUUGUGAAUAUGUGCGUAUAUCAACCAUAUAACUUUGUCACUUGGCAUUUUCUUUGCAGAAAGUCAGACUAUUGUUAAAAUUCCCUUUUCAGAACUAUCUCUUUCUAUAUUAAAUGAGUUAGUGCAGAUAGAAUAGUUAGAUUGGUGGCUUUCCUAAGGUAAACACUAACCAUUAACAGCCAUUAUCCUCAUUUCUCUACACUCAUGGAAACUUAAAUUUGGAAAGGCUAUGCCAUAUCUCUCUAGCAAUUCAUUUUUUCUGAUAGAUGGAUAUCUAGUCCCUACUUGAUUACUUCCCACAACAGGUUGCUUACCAACUCACAGGAAAACCUAAUUUAGUGUUAGACAGCAUUUGAUGACUCUGUGGCAUAAUCUCUAAA